rnacentral:rRNA from 1 species
AUUUAUGGGGGUACAGCGAGUGCAGGCGAUUGAUAAGUCUGAUGUGAAAGCCCUCGGCUCAGCCGGUGAAGUGCAUCAGGCACUGUCGAGCGUGAGUACAGUAGAGGAGAGUGGCACUCCUUGUGUAGCGGUGGAAUGCGUAGAUAUAUGGAAGAACACCGGUGGCGAAGGCGGCUCUCUUGUCUGUCACUGACGGUGAGGCUAGAAUGCAUGGGUAGCGAACAGGAUUAGAUACCCUGGUAGUUCAUGCCGUAAACGAUGAGUGCUAAGUGUUGGGAGGUUUCCGCCUCUCAGUGCUGCAGCUAACGCAUUAAGCACUCAGCCUGGGGAGUACGCCUGCAAGGUUGUAACUCAAAGGAAUUGACGGGGGCCCGCACAAGCGGUGGAGCAUGUGGUCUAAUUCGAAGCAACGCGAAGAACCUUACCAGGUCUUGACAUCCAUAGCCAGUGUAAGAGAUUAGAUGUUCCCUUCGGGGACUAUGAGACAGUCGGUGCAUGGCAGUGGUCAGCUCGUGUCGUGAGAUGUUGGGUUAAGUCCCGCAACGAGCGCAACCCUUGUCAUUAGUUGCCAGCAUUAAGUUGGGCACUCCUAAUGAGACUGCCGGUGACAAACCGGAGGAAGGUGGGGAUGACGUCAAGUCAUCAUGCCCCUUAUGACCUGGGCUACACACGUGCUACAAUGAACGGUACAACGAGAAGCGACCCUGUGAAGGCAAGCGGAUCUAUGAAAGCCGUUCUCAGUUCGGAUUGCAGGCUGCAACUCGCCUGCAUGAAGCUGGAAUCGCUAGUAAUCGCAAAUCAACACGUUGCGGUGAAUACGUUCCCGGGCCUUGUACACACCGCCCGUCACACCAUGAGAGUCUGUAACGCCCGAAGCCGGCGGGAUAACCGAAAGGAGUCAGCCGUUUAAGGCGGGACAGAUGAUUAGGGUGAAGUGGUACCAAGGUAACCGUA